AAUAAAAAAAUAAAAUACAAAUACAGCAGUUAUCAGCCACCUCUGCCCACACAGGCGAAUCCUACAGCUUCCCAAUGUUUGGGCUUGUGAGGGUUUUUACAAUAUGGACGAGUUAGUACUUUGAGUAAUAUUUCCAAGUAAGGUAUCAUGCACGGGUCCCAAACAGCCAGAAAAAAACGAAAAGAUAAGAUGAAAUUUGUUGCAAGAGUUUAGU